UGGCGAACCAGUGGCCGUCGACCCUGCAGGACAACGCGCUGAGGGCCAACGUCCUGUGGGAAAAUCUGCUGGCAUUUGGCAAGACAACCGGGAAAGUGGCCCGUCUCCUUCAGAGGAUGGAAGCCGGUGAAAUGGUCAGCCACGACGAGUCUCCACAGACCCCCAAGAACAGGCUGAUGCUCCGACCACAGCUGCACGGCUCUGAGUGGCCCUCCACCAGCCUCAACCUGGUCCUGUACGGGCUGCCGAACCAGGCCAUCGUGUGAUCCUCCCGUCCCA